AUUGAACGCUGGCGGCAAGCCUAACACAUGCAAGUCGAACGAGUGGCGGACGGGUGAGUAAUGUCUGGGAAACUGCCUGAUGGAGGGGGAUAACUACUGGAAACGGUAGCUAAUACCGCAUACCAUCGGAUGUGCCCAGCUGGGAUUAGCUAGUAGGGGGGGUAAAGGCUCACCUGGGCGACGAUCCCUAGCUGGUCUGAGAGGCGGACCAGCCACACUGGACCUGAGACACGGCCCAGACUCCUACGGGAGGCAGCAGUGGGGAAUAUGGCAAAAUGGGCGCAAGCCUGAUGCAGCCAGGCCGGGUGUAUGAAGAAGGCCUUGGGGUUGUAAAGUACUUUCAGCGGGGAGGCGUUACCCGCAGAAGAAGCACCGGUUAACUCGGUGCCAGCAGCCGCGUAAUUC
rnacentral:rRNA from 1 species